rnacentral:rRNA from 1 species
CAGCCGCCACGGUAAUGCGGAGGGGGCAAGCGUUAUCCGGAAUUACUGGGUGUAAAGGGAGCGUAGACGGUUAAACAAGUCUGAAGUGAAAUGCCGGGGCUCAACCCCGGAGCUGCUUUGGGAACUGUAGAACUGGAGUGUCGGAGGGGUAAGCGGAAUUCCCAGUGUAGCGGUGAAAUGCGUAGAUAUUGGGAGGAACACCGGCGGCGAAGGCGGCUUACUGGACGACAACUGACGUUGAGGCUCGAAGGCGUGGGUAGCAAACUGGAUUAGAGACCCCAGUAGUCCCUGUCUCUUAUAU